ensembl:snoRNA SNORD57 small nucleolar RNA SNORD57
UGCGAAUGAUGAGCACUAAUUUCCUGACAUCACUGAGGGUUAAACUGAUUUAAUGAGCCUGACUC